GUUAGAAAGAGGUUGAGUGCUAGAGAAUCUUAUGGCUGCCAAAUGGGUAAGCAGAGACUUCAACCACUGUCUUCUGACUCACAGCCCAAGGGAAAGACCAGGCAAGAGUAGGGGUGAAGAAAUCUCAUGUAGAAGCCCAGAACUUUCAAGAGAUAAGAAGUAGAGAGAUUCUGGUUUAAAGAGAGAUGACAGAAGCCCUGAAUGUCCUCUCUUCUGCUCCCCCAGAUACCUUCAUGGACUACAGGGCUGUACAUACGGUUAGACUCCUUGGCCUCAAUAUGAAUGUCUAAAGACUCCAAGCAUCCUAACUCCAAUUAGAAAUCCAGUAGCAAUGUAUUACCAUGCAGUUGUCUAAAACCUUAAAAAAAAAAAAGCUAUUUAAAUUGUCCAUCUUUUCA
rnacentral:antisense_RNA from 1 species